rnacentral:rRNA from 1 species
UACGAAGGGGGCUAGCGUUGUUCGGAAUCACUGGGCGUAAAGCGCCCGUAGGCGGAUGUGUCAGUCAGGGGUGAAAUCCCGGGGCUCAACCUCGGAACUGCCUCUGAUACAGCACAUCUUGAGUCCGGAAGAGGUGGGUGGAAUUCCUAGUGUAGAGGUGAAAUUCGUAGAUAUUAGGAAGAACACCGGUGGCGAAGGCGGCCCACUGGUCCGGUACUGACGCUGAGGUGCGAAAGCGUGGGGAGCAAACAGG